UCCGCUAAAUAUUGAGCCAGUUCGGGAU
rnacentral:sRNA from 1 species